GAAUCUUGACUUCUGUUCCUAUAACACCCAGGGUGGUUUGCUUUCUCUGUGCCAGUAGUGGGCAUGUAGAGUUGUGUAUUGCCAAGUCUGUUGUGAGCCCUUCCACAAGUUUUGUUUAGAGGAGAACGAGCGCCCUCUGGAGGACCAGCUGGAAAAUUGGUGUUGUCGUCGUUGCAAAUUCUGUCACGUUUGUGGAAGGCAACAUCAGGCUACAAAGAGCUGCUGGAGUGUAAUAAGUGCCGAAACAGCUAUCACCCUGAGUGCCUGGGACCAAACUACCCCACCAAACCCACAAAGAAGAAGAAAGUCUGGUCUGUACCAAGUGUGUUCGCUGUAAGAGCUGUGGAUCCACAACU
rnacentral:lncRNA from 1 species